rnacentral:lncRNA from 1 species
CACGUCUUAUAGUAAUGUGAAUUCACACUCACAUAUAAGAGAAAACAAACGACACAACGGAAACACAACGUUAAAAUGUUACACACACAGAAACGAACUAUAAUAUAACAAUGGCCAUUUUCCUGACUUGGUACAGGACAUUUUAAAAGAUAAAAAUGGUGGGUUGAACCUGGUUUUGUGGCAUGCCAAACCUCGCACUUUAAUGGCAAUGUUAAAUAUAACAUUGAAAUGACAACAUAAUAUUACAGGACUACAAUACAAAUAAAUAGGAGAACGUAUUAGACAAAGAAACACAUGAUUAAUAGAUAACAAAAGGCAUCAGGUUUAAAAUUCAAUACGCCAAAAACGCGCCUCGUCCACACAAGACUCACCAGUGAC